GGCACUGUGGCGGAGUGGUUACGCAGCGGUCUGCAAAACCGCGUACACCGGUUCAAUUCCGGUCGGUGCCUCCA
rnacentral:tRNA from 1 species